AUUACGGCUAUGACGAGAAAAAGUACCCGGAAGGAAUGCUGCAGAGAGCUGCCGGUUGGUGCAAGGCAGUGCAGGGCAUCCGUGGGAAGAUCCUCUCCGAGCUUUCCGGCUGAAUGGGCGGUGUGCGCCCCAGUAAGCAGGAACGGCAGGCCCCCGUUAUCACGGGCCGCGCGUUGUUGGACGUGCACUGAGUGGUCAGCGUUGUGCUGGCAAUAAGAGUGGUACCGCAGAGGAUAUUACACGCCUUUGUCUCUUA
rnacentral:ncRNA from 1 species